rnacentral:rRNA from 1 species
AUUUGAUCUGAAAUCAGGUGGGAUUACCCGCU